CACACACACACACACACACACAACCUUCCUGCCACAAUCCUUCCCCUUUCAGCCCAACCAACCCCCUACCAUCCCCUCUGUACCGGACUAUCUGCUACUGCUACGACGACAUUCCUUCAUUCACUGCAGCGUUUGGCCUUAAUGGCAGAUUUGCAUAACACACACACACACACACACUUGUCGGACGGGGAGCUUGAAGCAGGAGCCAGGAAGAAGAAACACUCAACACAUAAGUGGAGGUCGUGACCUCUGGGUCACAGCUGCAGACCCGUUGGUUUCAGUCGUGUUUCGAGUCACCUGAGGUCGUCGGUCCAAUAUUCAUUCUCUUUUUGCUCCGUUUCUGGUCUCCAUCAGCUCCUAUAAGGUGGUGAGACUGAUGUGAAACACUAAAGUUCUAUAUUUAAUGAAAAUAAAAAAGUUUCACUAUGAUUGUCCAGUUUCUCUUUACAAAUCUCUCUCUUAAUGUCACGUUUGAAUCAGUCAGACUUUUGAUAAAUUGAACCUCAAGUUGAGACCACUGCUUGAAGCUAUGUUUUUAUUUUGACUGCCAUUAUCAAAAUUCUUGGUUUAAUUGCCGCUUUUGCAUGGAGCCGUAAACCCCCCAGGCCCCAACAGCAGUGGAGGUCUAUAAAAACAAAGGCAGCUUGUCUAUGGGUUUAAGGUUUAUGGUGCCUUGUCGAAUGGUAACCUGUUGCCAAGCUGAUUAUGAAACAAACUGCUUCAGGGAAAAUUCCAGGUGCUGAGUUAUAUCAUCAGUCAGCGCUUUCCUGAAGUAAUUUUAUAACUGUAUUGAUUGUACAAUUGAGUUAACCCCAAUCUCUGAAUACGUGCGUAACGAAAUAGAUAGUUUGCCCUUUUUUUCAUGAACUAGAAUCAAACGCAGGUGCAUAUUAAAGCAUGUUCUGAGGUGGAAACUGUAUGUUAGUGCAUGUUAGCGUGCAUGUUAGCAUGUUAGUGUAACCCCCCUCCAGCUAUCACUUUAGAGAAAUGUGUCUGUUAGCGUAUGUCAGUGUAUGUUAGUGUGUCUGUUAGCGUAUGUUAGUUCAAGUUAGCGUGUGUGUUAGUGUAUGUCAGU
ensembl:lncRNA